rnacentral:rRNA from 1 species
GAUCCUGGCUCAGGAUGAACGCUAGCGACAGGCUUAACACAUGCAAGUCGAGGGGCAGCGGGGUGUAGCAAUACACCGCCGGCGACCGGCGCACGGGUGAGUAACGCGUAUGCAACUUGCCUAUCAGAGGGGGAUAACCCGGCGAAAGUCGGACUAAUACCGCAUGAAGCAGGGAUCCCGCAUGGGAAUAUUUGUUAAAGAUUCAUCGGUAUGCGAUGGGGAUGCGUUCCAUUAGGCAG